AGGACGAACGCUGGCGGCGUGCUUAACACAUGCAAGUCGAGCGGUAAGGCCCUUUCGGGGGGUACACGAGCGGCGAACGGGUGAGUAACACGUGAGUAAUCUGCCCUCCACUUGGGGAUAAGCUUCGGAAGCGGGGUCUAAUACCUGAUACGACAACUUCCUGCAUGGGAUGGUUGUGGAAAGUUUUUCGGUGGGGGAUGUGCUCGCGGCCUAUCAGCUUGUUGGUGGGUAAUGGCCUACCAAGGCUUCGACGGGGUA
rnacentral:rRNA from 1 species